AUGGGAUCGGAGGCGGAUGCGGCGGAGAUGACCGGCCCCCUCCUUGCCGGCGCGCCAUCGGCGGUGGAGGCGAUGCCGCCGUGGUGGGAGCGGCUGACGGUGCGGGGUGUAGUGGUGAGCGCCAUCCUUGGGGUGCUCUUCUGCCUCAUCACGCACAAGCUCAACCUCACGGUGGGGAUCAUUCCUUCGCUCAACGUCGCCGCGGGCCUGCUCGCCUACUUCCUCGUGCGGACCUGGACCGAGGCGCUGAACAUGUUUGGCGUCGUCUCCAAGCCCUUCACCAAGCAGGAGAACACCGUCAUCCAGACCUGCAUCGUCGCCUGCUACGGCCUCGCCACCAGCGGGGGUUUCGGAUCGUAUAUGCUUGCAAUGGAUCAAAAAACUUAUGAGCUUAUCGGAACUGAUUAUCCUGGUAACAGGGCAGCAGAUGUCAAGAAUCCCUCGCUGAGUUGGAUGAUCGGCUUUAUGUUUGUAGUUAGCUUCCUUGGUAUUUUUAUUCUCGUUGCCCUGCGCAAGGUGAUGGUGUUAAACUAUAAGCUAACCUAUCCUAGAGGAACCGCCACCGCUAUGUUCAUAAACAGCGUCCACACUGCUACCGGAGACGAGUUAGUGGAAAAACAAGUUAGUUGUCUUGGAAAGUAUUUGAGCGGAAGUUUUCUUUGGCACUGCUUUAAAUGGUUCUUCAUUGGUGUUGGUGAUUCUUGUGGCUUCGACAAUUUCCCUUCUCUGGGCCUUGUAGCAUUUAAGAACACGUUUUAUUUUGACUUCAGUCCAACCUAUAUUGGAUGUGGUCUUAUAUGUCCACAUAUAGUUAACUGCUCUGCACUCCUUGGAGCCAUCAUAUCCUGGGGAUUUCUUUGGCCAUAUAUAUCCACAAAAGCUGGGGAGUGGUAUCCAGCUAACCUUGGAAGCAACGACUUCAAAGGACUCUAUGGGUACAAGGUUUUCAUAUCUGUAUCCUUGAUACUUGGCGAUGGUGUUUAUAACCUCAUCAAAAUCAUUUAUGCUUCCAUCAAGAAAAUAAUGAAAGCACACGCAGAGCAAGGAAGACUUCCCCUUGUUUGGGUUCAAGAUGGAUCUUGUUAUGUGGGCCUUGCAGCAAUUUCAACUGCAAUUGUACCAAUGAUGUUCCCACAACUCAAGUGGUACCUUGUCCUCACUGCUUAUGUUUUUGCUCCUCUACUUGCCUUCUGCAACUCAUAUGGCACUGGCCUAAUAGACUGGAACCUUGCAUCAACAUAUGGAAAGAUUGGUGUUUUCAUUUUUGCCUCAUGGGUUGGCAGACAUGGUGGUGUGAUCGCCGACUUAGCAGCUUGUGGUGUUAUGAUGCCCAUAGUAUCAACAGCUGGUGAUCUCAUGCAUGACUUCAAGACUAGCUACCUGACACUCUCUUCGCCAAACUCCAUGUUUGUGUCACAGAUGAUUGGGACUUCCCUUGGAUGCGUCAUUGCUCCUCUAACCUUUUGGAUUUACUGGACAUCCUUUGAUGUUGGCAAUCCUGAUGGCAUAUUCAAAGCUCCAUAUGCCAUCAUCUUCCGUGAGAUGUCAAUCAUGGGUGUCGAAGGAUACUCGGUGUUGCCGCAACAUUGCCUUGCAAUAUGCUCUUUCUUCUUCUUUGCAGCCAUAGCAAUCAAGCUCAUGCAGGAUGUCACCCCAAAUAGUGUGUCCAAAUUCAUCCCACUACAGAUGGCCAUGGCUGUUCCAUUCUACAUUGGGGCAAAUUUUGCGAUCGACAUGUUUGUUGGGACUGUCAUCUUGUUUGUCUGGGAGAGGGUGAACCGUAAGGAGUCAGAGGAGUUUGUGGGUGCGGUUGCUUCAGGUUUGAUCUGCGGUGAUGGCAUCUGGAGUGUUCCUUCUACCAUAUUGUCCAUCAUGAGGAUUGACCCACCGAUGUGCAUGUAUUUCAAGCCUUCUUUAACCUAUGGCUGA
rnacentral:rRNA from 1 species